AACCGGCCUGAUGCCUGCCAACCCGAGCCGCCGUGGCCGACGAUUCGGUCUUUCUCUAAGGUCUUGACUGCAUCCGACACUAGCACUCAUGGUAGAUUUUCGGUUCUUCGAAAACAUGCGAAUGAAUGCCUUCCUCCAUUGAACAAUGACAAAUAUCGAUGUAGUGAAACUGAAUAUCGUACUCCUUUCAAGUGUAUCAGAAGUGGAGAUGUAACAAAGGAAGCAAGUGGUAAAGUUCCCGAAAAUAGCCAGUCUACUCAAGAAGGAUCUCAAGAAGGAUUUAUUAAUGUCAGACAAUGUUGCAGCUAAGCACAGGAGAUUACCGCUAAGGUCCAACUUGAUAAUGGCAUGGUGUUUGAGGCAGUGAUAGUGAUGGACACCCAGGGGAAGCCUCGGCUCACUAAAUUCUACGAUUUCCAGCCUCCAGACAAGCAGCAGAGGAGAUGAUUCGUACUCUCUACUUAGGUAUUACUAUCUCUCUAAAAUUUUCUCACAUUUAUAGUCAUUAUAAUUACUUCAAAAUCAAGAAAGUUGUAAUUCUGGUAAUUAUUUGAUGUAGUAUUAUGCAACAGG